AGAACGAACGCUGGCGGCGUGGAUAAGACAUGCAAGUCGAGCGAGAUUUUUUCUUGUAGCAAUACAGGGAAAAGUCUAGCGGCGAACGGGUGCUUAACACGUGGGCAACCUGCCAAGAAGUGGGGGAUAGCUCGCCGAAAGGCGAAUUAAUACCGCAUGUGAUUAGAGUGGACAUCCAUUCGAAAUCAAAGUCGGGGCAACCUGACGUUUCUUGAGGGGCCCGCGGCCCUAUCAGCUAGUUGGUGAGGUAACGGCCCACCAAGGCUAAGACGGGUAGC
rnacentral:rRNA from 1 species